UUGAAUUCAAAAAGUUUACAUUAGAACAUUUUUAACUAAUAAAUACAUUGCAUUUACAAGAUCCAUUAAGUAAAUGGUCCAAUAAACAUCGCAUUGAAAAAUCAUAAGAAUUACAUCAUUUUUUGCAUAAGUUGACUUUUGGUCAACUGUUGACUUUUUGGUUAACCAAUGACUUUUUGGUCAAUCAAUUGACCAAAGUCAACUCAUCAUUUUAAAAUCCAUAAGUCCUAGUUUUCUUUGGUCUUUAAGUUAGGAUCACUUUUGCAUGACACUUGAAGCAUUUCUUGAACCAACGUGUGCAUACCAAGAUAUACACUAAACCAUAAUAUGGACCUAAUAUUCAUACAUUUGCAAAACAUUACAACACAUAAAACCAUGACAUUUACAAAGCAAAAUCAACUUGCUACACAUUUAACAUUAAAACCAAACUACCAAUUCAUGAAACUACUGCUACUGCAUUAGUGUAUGGGAUUUAUAAAACAGAUCUGCCUGAAAAUGGUCAGCUGAAUGUGGCUUUUGUGGACAUUGGCCAUGCUAGUAUGCAAGUGUGCACUGUUGGGUACAAAAAGGGGUAGCUGGAAUUGUUGGCUCAUACGUUUGAUAGGUCACUUGGUGGUACGGAUUUUGAUGAGGUUUUGUUCCAUCAUUUGGCUGGCUUAGGGAGAAAAAACAGUGGCAGGAUUCACUUCCAAAACCUGCCAACCUUGUACUCUUGUCAGCUGAAAUAAGAAAGAAAGUUGAGGUUGUUCAUAGAUUCUGCAAGCCGAUUCUGAUGAAACCAAAGCCAGCCAAGCCAGUUACUCCUCCUGCACCACCAAGCCCAACUUCUUCAGGCUCUGAGCAGCAGCUAAACCCUGCAUAAUCUUCAUGACAAAACAAAAUAGAGCAUGCAUAAGUUCAUUCAUUAUGCAGAAAUAGAACUGAAACAACUAAAAAUUGAGUACCACUAUAUAACUAAUUGCGCAAUCUAAUUAUAACUAACCUACUAGACUAAUUUUUAAUCUAACUGAUUUAUUGUAUUCAUCAGUGUUUACCCAUAACACAGAACAAUCAUCAACAUUCAUUUAAUAGAGAGUUUAACUAAACAUUCACUAACAGGAACUCUGCUAACUAAUUACUAACAAAUGAACUAACCGAUUAACAAAUCAACCAAUAAUCAUUGACAACUAACAAUAACCACCCNCAUUUGAAUUCAAAAAGUUUACAUUAGAACAUUUUUAACUAAUAAAUACAUUGCAUUUACAAGAUCCAUUAAGUAAAUGGUCCAAUAAACAUCGCAUUGAAAAAUCAUAAGAAUUACAUCAUUUUUUGCAUAAGUUGACUUUUGGUCAACUGUUGACUUUUUGGUUAACCAAUGACUUUUUGGUCAAUCAAUUGACCAAAGUCAACUCAUCAUUUUAAAAUCCAUAAGUCCUAGUUUUCUUUGGUCUUUAAGUUAGGAUCACUUUUGCAUGACACUUGAAGCAUUUCUUGAACCAACAACGUGUGCAUACCAAGAUAUACACUAAACCAUAAUAUGGACCUAAUAUUCAUACAUUUGCAAAACAUUACAACACAUAAAACCAUGACAUUUACAAAGCAAAAUCAACUUGCUACCCAUUUAACAUUAAAACCAAACUACCAAUUCAUGAAACUACUGCUACUGCAUUAGUGUAAGGGAUUUAUAAAACAGAUCUGCCUGAAAAUGGUCAGCUGAAUGUGGCUUUUGUGGACAUUGGCCAUGCUAGUAUGCAAGUGUGCAUUGUUGGGUACAAAAAGGGGUAGCUGGAAUUGUUGGCUCAUACGUUUGAUAGGUCACUUGGUGGUACGGAUUUUGAUGAGGUUUUGUUCCAUCAUUUGGCUGGCUUAGGGAGAAAAAACAGUGGCAGGAUUCACUU
rnacentral:lncRNA from 1 species